UGCGUAGGCGGGCUAAUAAGUCAGUGGUGAAAUCUCUCGGCUCAACCGGGAAACUGCCAUUGAUACUGUUAGUCUUGAGUUCGGUUGAGGUAGGCGGAACGUGUAAUGUAGCGGUGAAAUGCUUAGAUAUUACACAGAACACCAAUUGCGUAGGCAGCUUACUAGACCGACACUGACGCUGAGGCACGAAAGCGUGGGGAGCGAACAGGAUUAGAUACCCUGGUAGUCC
rnacentral:rRNA from 1 species